CUUGAUUGUGUUUCCUUUAAGUACAAUGUGUAACUUACCUCUCAUUUGCUUUCCAAGAACAGCGCAUAGAUGCCUCAUGUCUGUGCCUCUUAGCUUGUCUUUAGUGCCAGUGACAGUAGCUUUUACCCUUUCAAAUUCUUGUUUUUCUUGUUUUUCUAGGUGCAGUGGCAGUUCUUCAACUAUGUUUGAGAUGUGUUCCUUGACAUCAUGUGUUGGUUCAGUUGGAAGAACUUCGUAGAAUCCUGAAAAAAAGGGCCUGCAAGCACUUUCGCCUUGCGAUCUGCAAGUGAGAGCUCUGGACGCCGGAAACAAUAUGUUAAAUUAGAAUACAUUCUUGUGUCACCACUGCAAGCACUGCAGCCAGCAUUAACACCUUUCUGCUCUCCACUCUCAAACUGCUGUUCGGGGCCAUCACCAUGUCAUUUACCUCUCUACCUGUCGAAGUGGAACAUUUGUGUCCCAUGUCCAUCAAGCAUUCUACUCUUGUUUCUAUGUAACACAGCUUCUCUGCUUCAGAAGAGCCACAUCGCCCAA